AGUUCUCCCUGAGACUAUAAGUCUCCUGAAGGAACGUUAAAGACGAUGACGUUGAUAGGCCGGGUGUGUAAGCGCAGCGAUGCGUUGAGCUAACCGGUACUUAUGAACCGUGAGGCUUAACCUUACAACGCCGAAG
rnacentral:rRNA from 1 species